rnacentral:rRNA from 1 species
GACGAACCGUCCAAACGUUGUUCGGAAUCACUGGGCUUAAAGGGCGCGUAGGCGGACUGCCAAGUCCGGGGUGAAAUCUUUCGGCUUAACCGGAAAAGAGCCUUGGAAACUGGCGGUCUCGAGGGAGGUAGGGGCCUGUGGAACUUCGGGUGGAGCGGUGAAAUGCGUUGAUAUCCGAAGGAACGCCGGUGGCGAAAGCGACGGGCUGGAUCUCUUCUGACGCUGAGGCGCGAAAGCCAGGGGAGCAAACGGG